rnacentral:tRNA from 1 species
GGGUUGUUAGCUCAGUUGGUAGAGCAGCUGACUUUUAAUCUGCUGGUCGCACGUUCGAGUCGUGUACAACCCA